CAACUGUGAUGUUCACCUUUCCCGAAGCUGAUCAUCUAGUGAUGAGAAAACUUACGGAUCUGAUUACUGAGUU